AACGAACGCUGGCGGCAUGCCUAACACAUGCAAGUCGAACGAGACCUUCGGGUCUAGUGGCGCACGGGUGCGUAACGCGUGGGAACCUGCCCUUAGGUUCGGAAUCACUCCCCGAAAGGGGUGCUAAUACCGGAUAAUGUCUUCGGACCAAAGAUUUAUCGCCUUUGGAUGGGCCCGCGUUGGAUUAGCUAGUUGGUAGGGUAAAAGCCUACCAAGGCGACGAUCCAUAGCUGGUCUGAGAGGAUGAUCAGCCACACUGGGACUGAGACACGGCCCAGACUCCUACGGGAAGCAGCAGUGGGGAAUAUUGGACAAUGGGCGAAAGCCUGAUCCAGCAAUGCCGCGUGAGUGAUGAAGGCCUUAGGGUUGUAAAGCUCUUUUACCCGGGAUGAUAAUGACAGUACCGGGAGAAUAAGCUCCGGCUAACUCCGUG
rnacentral:rRNA from 1 species